rnacentral:rRNA from 1 species
UAUGGUUCCUUAGAUCGCACUUACUACUUGGAUAACUGUGGUAAUUCUAGAGCUAAUACAUGCGCAGAGCCCCAACCCUCGUGGAAGGGGCGCUUUUAUUAGAUCAAAGCCAAUCGAGUUUCGGCUCGUUUCUUUGGUGACUCUGAAUAACUUUGCUGAUCGCAUAGUCUCGUACCGGCGACGUAUCUUUCAAGUGUCUGCCUUAUCAACUGUCGAUGGUAGGUUAUGCGCCUACCAUGGUUGUAACGGGUAACGGGGAAUUAGGGUUCGAUUCCGGAGAGGGAGCCUGAGAAACGGCUACCACA